UCCCUCAACCCUAAACCCUCACUUUCUACCCCCAAAUUCACUCUUUCUCUCCCAAAAUUCCCUUCCUUCUCUACCUCCACCACACCGUCACACCACGCCGCCGCACCACACCGCAAACUGCUGGAGCACCGCCAUCUGCAUAUGCCUCCAUCUCCGACGCGACUCCGAAACUGCUAAGUUGAGAUCUCAGGCGUUCAAAAUACCCUAAAGCUUCUAGAAGCAACAGUUGGGAGCGGUUGUAGCUCCUGAUUUGGCUCCGGUGGUUGUCCCUAAAUCUUCUCAUAAAAAAACCACCCACUCUUCCCAAAUUGAAGUUCCUUUGGCCUCCUCCUGAAUGAAUUCGAGUUUCAAGAAUUCUCUGGUAUAUAUUUUGUGAAUGGUUCAGUUCAUGUCGUUGCAGAACGCCAACAGGAAAUUUUCGGACACAGAAUACGCAGGUAUAUAUUUUGUCAUUGGUUCAGUUCACGCCAGUUCUGGCGACUCCAGUUGCGGCUACCAGAAAUCGCUUUCACGUCCCCUGCUACUUGUUCCGCUAAGGUCCGGCUCUUGCUUCUAAGACGUUUCAUCUUCAAUUUCGGUCAAUUACUCCUGAUGUUAUAAAUGGAAUGCAGCAUAAGAAAAUGGAUUUGAGGAGUUUGGUGUAGCAGCCAUUAGCAUUCAUCAGUUGGGAGCAAUGUAGACACAGAAGGGAAAGAAGAAAAUCGCAGUAUUACAUAAAGUAGAUUUUGACGAGCUCUGAGUAGUAACUAUACACACUCAUACCCAUAUAAAAAGGAAAGAUUAGAGAGUUAGAAACAGAAACAACAGAGAGAGAGAUGCAUAAGGGAAAGUGAUUACGAUCUCUCUUUGAUUCGGUUCGGUUUCGUUUUUAUGUUUUAAUUUAUUCUAAGGAUAAAUAUAGUGACUUCUUGUAAGUAUGGUUAUUUUGUGGGAAAACUUUUGUCCUUUGGAUUGCUUA